AGGCCUCAUCAGACACAUUUCUCAGAAUGGGGUUCCCUGCUCAGCUCCUGGGGCUGCUGAUGCUCUGGAUCCCUGGAUCCGGUGGGGACAUUGUGUUGACGCAGACCCCACUCUCCCUGCCUGUCAGCCCCGGAGAGCCAGCCUCCAUCUCCUGCAGGUCUAGUCAGAGCCUCCCACACAGUGAUGGAAAAACCUAUUUUGAUUGGUUCCUCCAGAAGCCAGGCCAGUCUCCAAAGCGCCUGGUUUAUUGGGUUUCCAACAGGGAGUCCGGGGUCCCAGACAGGUUCAGGGGCAGUGGAUCAGGGACAGAUUUCACUCUCAGGAUCAGCAGGGUGCAGGCUGAUGAUGCUGGAGUUUAUUUCUGUGUACAAGCUACACAACUUCCUCCCACAAUGAUACAGCCCUGA